rnacentral:rRNA from 1 species
UACGUAGGGGGCUAGCGUUGUCCGGAAUCAUUGGGCGUAAAGCGCGCGUAGGCGGCCAGAUAAGUCCGGUGUGAAAGUCAAAGGCUCAACCUUUGAAUGCCGCUGGAAACUGUCUGGCUUGAGUCCGGAAGGGGCGAGUGGAAUUCCUGGUGUAGCGGUGGAAUGCGCAGAUAUCAGGAGGAACACCGAUGGCGAAGGCAGAUCUCUGGGCCGUAACUGACGCUGAGGAGCGAAAGCGUGGGGAGCGAACAGG